CGGGCGGGUGCCGGGGGCGGAAGCGCGGCCACAAGAGGGGGCGAUUCACCGCCGCCCCCCGUGGGACCUGGGUCCUCUACGCGGGACCGCAGGGGCCCCGAGUCGCGGGUUGGGCAAGGUCGCCCGCUCCGGGUCGCUCGGAAGGGUCAUUUCACGGACCGGUCGUCUGGGGCCAGUGCGUCUUGCCCCGCACGGAAGACCCCUCGCUUCGAGGACAGGAAAGCUUUUAAAGUGAGGAUUGGCUCGCCGCGCCUCCCGCAGAGGGGAACGCCGCCCGGACCCGCGCUCCUGGGGCGGGGGCCUCGUAUGCUGGCGUUGCCGGAGCGUCUGCGGCGCUGAAGGCUGCCGAGACCCAGCCACAUCCCCCACAAGCCAGCAGCCCGGCAGAAAAUUACAUAAAAUGCAGCGCUUCGCCGAGGGGGUGCGAGUCGGGGGAGCAGCGCGCAGCUGCGGCUGACGGCUCGGCUGGAUCCAUCCAAGCAUGGACAGGAAAACGGGACUGUGGGGAGAGGGUGGUGCAGACGGGCCGCAGACCCUCCUUAGGAAGAGAAGCCGGAAACUAGGGAGUCAUGUGCAGUUAGAAUCCUCUUGGAAGACUAGUAGGAUGUGAGGUUGGAGAGGUGGACGACGACCAGAAAAUUCCCUUGUCUUGCCAGGCUUCUGACCUAACUAUGAGUUUCCUCCGCGCAUCCAGCCUGCCCUGCUCUGGCCCCUAAAGUACAGCAGUAACACUCAGUGGUGUCCCUGCCUUCCUGGAAUGCGCGUUAACAAUUCUGAUUCUUACUCAUGGCAAUAACCUACACACCACAUAGACGUUAAAUGUGGUUCGGGUCAGACUCUAGGGCAGGACUCACUGCCUGCACCUUGUCUUGGCUCCACCAGCUUGACCUUGAGCAAGUCACAACCUGUGGGUCUCAGUGUUCCUUACUAGUAAACCGUAGGUAAUUCCUCACUAGUAAACAGAUAAUAUUUGUGCCUGUCUCAAAGUUGUGAGGAUUUAAUGAAUUUGUGUUCCUGGUAUACAGUAA
rnacentral:lncRNA from 1 species